rnacentral:other from 1 species
AUAUGUCUGCGGUGUUCGUGGUAUGAAAUAUUCGUAAUCCACAAAACUAAUACGGGAGCGGAUCCGUUCGUGAAAAUAGACGAGGUCUGUAUAUAAAUACGGAAAGGUUGAAGUUUCACUUCGCCGCACCCACCUGCGAGAAGCGGGUUAACGGCUUUCAUAACACGGCACAGGCGGAUAUUGC